rnacentral:rRNA from 1 species
UACGUAGGGUGCGAGCGUUGUCCGGAAUUACUGGGCGUAAAGAGCUCGUAGGUGGUUUGUCGCGUUGUUCGUGAAAACUCACAGCUCAACUGUGGGCGUGCGGGCGAUACGGGCAGACUGGAGUACUGCAGGGGAGACUGGAAUUCCUGGUGUAGCGGUGGAAUGCGCAGAUAUCAGGAGGAACACCGGUGGCGAAGGCGGGUCUCUGGGCAGUAACUGACGCUGAGGAGCGAAAGCGUGGGGAGCGAUCAGG